UAGUGUUGGCCAAACAGUGAUCUCAUACUUCUCGCACACAUUCCAAUUUUUUGGCAGUCGACCUUUAUAAGAAACCAUUGAAUUGUCAAGAAAAAUUCAAUGGAAAUGGAUAUGAACUAUUAUAUGUAGCGAUGGGUGUGAACUGAAAUACAACAUACCUUUCCAAUGAGAACAGACUCAUUCGCCAUUCCAAUGUUUUCACCAAGUUUCUCGUACUGAGGAUCAAGCCUUUCACAGGUCAACUUCUUGUUAUUUGGUCAAUUUCUACGGCCUCAAAAGUCAAUCAAAUGGAUUAAUGCAACUUAUGCCUGCACUAAAGUGAGCACACACUGAAGUUUCCUGGCGCCCAGCCAGAGGAGUAAACCACGCAAAUCAUUGUAAUAAAAAAAAAAAAGGUGGUGUUUGACUCUGAGAUCAAAGAGUCAUUAGAUGGUCAGGAUCUACCGGAGGGGGUCAUCCCGCGGACGGGAUCGCCCUGAUUUCGUUUGACUUGGACGGCCAUGAAAAUUUCGAUUGUGUCACGUGGGGAUGUGUGUGAACGGAAUAUGCAGUGGGUGACGUUUGGAUCGAUAUCCCUAAACAAUUUUCUCUCGAUUUUUCGUAACCAGCAGAGAGAGGUUUCAUCUUCCACAUUCAAUUCUUCUUUAGUUCUUCAUAUCCUCUUAUACGGCAGUACCAGGUCUUUCACCACCAGAAUCAUUCCUUCAUCUACUUCUCCUUCUCGAGCAGCAACAACGAAUCAGCUAGCCACAUCAUCAUCUUCUAAUACUUGAACCAGUCCUUGCAGCAUCUUCGACUUCUUUUUGUUGAUUUCAGAUGAACUUGGAGGGAUUUGCUGAGAUUUUGGAUUCAUUCCCAUGUCUUCUCAGUUCUUUGGAGUAGAAGGUGGUUAGUACAGAGUUCGGUUUGCCUCAGAUCCAUAUAGGUUUUGGCUGAUGUUCUUAUACGCGAAACUUGAUAGGUUUCUCGCUGAAGUCAGCGAUGAAAAUGGUUCACUUGAUGCUGCAUUCAGUGAUAGAGUCUGCGAGAUCAGGCUUCACUUUCAGAAGGGUCAUAAUUGAGGGAGUUUACUGCCAUUGAAGAUGUGAGUUGUUGCCGUUGAUUUGAGAGAUGAACAGAGGGAAUUUGAAGAGAUGUUUUGGAGUUCCGACGAGUCUAGGAAACAUGGGUUUGUGAAGAAGAUGAAUGUGUUUAGCUUAGAUAUAACAUAAUGCACACCUCUGCACUUUUAGAAACACGCCCAUCAAGUGCUCGACAGAGACUCUAGCCAGUUCUGCCCCAGCUUUGUGCAGGUUUGAGCCAUAUUGAAGAGCAAAGGAAACAAAGCAUACUUCGACAAGGACAAUGAAGAAUAUCCCUCAACAAGAGGUACUUUUCCCCCUUGCACACUUUUUCUUUGGUUGGAUUGUCUCUUUUGUUGUUUCAUUGUCUUUCCAAGGGUACAUUACAUCAUUCUGGAUCCUAUUAGGGUUUUUACCUGUAGCUGUAGGUUAGUAUUUUGAAACACAUUUGUGAGAUUUGUUAGUCCAAGUUCUAGAGUGGUUUGUUACCAUAGAAACAGAGAUCUCACAAAUUGAAGUAUCUAUUCAGACCAACGAGUCUUCAAACACAAAUGAAAGUAAUCAUUGGGAUCGCUACGAAUUCUCCCUCUUCUUCUCCCUCUUCUUCUCCCUCUUCUUCUCCUUCUCCUUCUCCUUCUCCUCCCCCUCCCCCUCCUCCUCCUCCUCUUUGAAGUUAAAAGAUCCUUCAAUCAUGUCUCAAUUCUAUCCGCUGCUCUAAACUACAUAAUAUAGUAAUUGGUAGCCAAAUCCCUAUUCCAAUCAUAUAGAACAUGGGGUUAACUGAUAAUUGUUCGUCUUGGAUUCAACGGGGACUGCACCGGUGGUUGACGUCAAUGCUAAGAAACAAAUUCCCUUUUAAGAAGGACAAAACUCUAAGUAAGCUGAUAUCUUAACUAUGACUUCACUUCAAAGAACCUAUUGUAUUGUAGGGACAGUCUGGAGAAGACACAACAAUAUUAAUUACAAUAUCUAAUUCAGAUAUAGUUCGAAUGAUAUGACAGGUUCCCUAUACGGGUAUCUCUUAAACCUUGAGGUAGAAGAUCACAAUGGACCGGUUGUUUUAUUUCUUUUGGUGGAACUUCCGAAUAGAUCAUCCGAAUGAGAGUUCGAGAGCUUAUGGAGAAAUCUGAUAGCGGAUGUAUGAAAAUCGUCACAUUAUUCAAUCAAUUGAUUGCUGAAGAUUGGUUUGUACACAUGAAAACGAAGCCCAUAAUGUACCUGAAAAAUAUAUAUCAUGCACAUCAUCCAUAAUGUCACUCAUCUUUUCAUCUUAAGGUCUCCACGUAUCCACGUUUCCGGUUGUUUUAUUUCUUUUGGCGGAACUUCCGAAUAGAUAUAACUCUAAAUUUUUCAUCUGUUUUCGUAGUUAUAUUUUUUUGGGUUCUUACCACUUGGCAA